rnacentral:lncRNA from 1 species
AAGGGAAGUUAGGUAACCUGCUCAUGAUCACACAGUUAGAGUGCCUUCAGAAAUCUUACUUUUAACAAUUACGUUAUACUGCAGUAGUCCAGGUGGGAAAAUAGGAGGGCCUGAACUAAGCUGAAGCAUUAUAAGAACAUGCUUUUUAUGUGAAUGCACAUUUUGGACUUGCUAUCUCUGUGCCUAUGAUAUCGUUUGUACCUCCAGAACAGGCACUCUGAAUUGUAUAAAUUAUUGUUAUCUUUAUAGUGUUUUAACACAGCCUUCUUUAGUGCUUGGCAAACAGCUCAUGCACAUUUAGCAAGUGCACCAGGGUGAUGGGAGUCAGAGGCAUCAGUAGAUUCUGUCUACAAUUUGAAGUAUACGACUCCACUGCAACAUGAGACUCCAGUUUAUGCAUAUGGACAUCUUGCUUGACCUCCAAGGUCCAGUCAGCUGAUGAGACAACUGCUAUAAGAAUUAUUUGCAAUCUCUGCCCAUCCACAAACUCUCCACCAUGACUACUGCACUUAGAGCACUCUGCAGUAUUUUCCAGAUGUCUGUUAUCUGUCCUGUCACACCUAGCAAGCGAUCUGGGAAAACAGGGAGCAUCUAUGAUUUUAACGAAGUAUUAAC